ensembl:lncRNA
GGGACUGGGGAGUAGGGAAUAGAGAGUAGGGACUAGAGAGCAGGGGCUAGAGAGUAGGGACUAGAGAGUAGAGAGUAGGGGUUAGAGAGUAGGGGCUAGAGAGUAGGGACUAGAGAUUAGGGGUUGGGGAGUAGGGACUAGAGAGUAGGGACUAGAGAGUAGGGGAUAGAGAGUAGGGGUUGGGGAGUAGGGACUGGAGAGUAGGGACUAGAGAGUAGGGACAACAGAGUAGGGGCUAGAGAGUAGGGACUAGAGAGUAGGGGAUAGAGAGUAGGGACUACAGAGUAGGGGCUAGAGAGUAGGGGCUAGAGAGUAGGGACUAGAGAGUAGGGGCUAGAGAGUAGGGGUUGGGGAGUAGGGACUAGAGAGUAGGGUUUAGAGAGUAGGGCUGGGGAGUGGGAAUAGAGAGUAGGGACUAGAGAGCAGGGGCUAGAGAGUAGUGACUAGAGAGUAGAGAGUAGGGGUUAGAGAGUAGGGGCUAGAGAGUAGGGACUAGAGAUUAGGGGUUGGGGAGUAGGGACUAGAGAGUAGGGACUAGAGAGUAGGGGAUGGAGAGUAGGGACUAGAAAGUAGGGACUAGAGAGUAGGGGAAACAGAGUAGGGGUUGGAGAGUAGAGAGUAUGGGCUAGAGAGCAGGGACUAGAGAGUAGAGAGUAGGGGAUAGAGACUGGGGGAUAGAGAGUAGGGAGUAGAGAGUAGGGACUAGAGAGUAGGGGUUGGAGAGUAGGGACUGGAGAAGAGGGGUUGGAGAGUAGGGACUAGAGAGUAGGGGAUAGAGAGUAGGGACUAGAGAGUAGGGACUAGAGUAGAGAGUAGGGGCUAGAGAGUAGGGACUAGAGACCAGGGGAUAGAGAGUAGGGGUUGGAGCGUAGGGGAUAGAGAGUAGGGACUAGAGAGUAUGGGAUAGAGAGUAGGGGUUGGAGAGUAGGGACUAGAGAUUAGGGGUUGGGGAGUAGGG